rnacentral:lncRNA from 1 species
CGACAGAAAAUUAAUUGCCAACUAUUUUGAUUGUUUUAUUUGUUAUUUUGUUUAUUUUGACAAUACAAUGCCUCUUGGAUUUGAAAUGGCAGAAUUGAUAUUGAUGAUGCACAAUACACUGACUUAAAAGGAUCUGAAUAUGUGCCAACGGAAUGCACUCUUCUGUCCUCACCCCCUUUUUUUUAAUCUCUUCUGUCAAAGGAUGUUUCUUGUAGUGGAAUUUCUUGGUGAGAAAAAGUCUGUGGCUGUGCUGCCACAGUCAUGGUACAAGGAUGGAGCAGCUUACUGGCCAGACUACAAGAAUGAUGACAAAAUCAACAAAGCUGCAAGAUCAGCAGAAAAGCCAGGCAAACACUGGACCAGACAUGAUGCCAGGGUGUUGACCAGAUGUGGUGAUUAUUUGACAGCCAGGCUGGCAAUGAGAAAGUCUUUGAACUGUCAAACAUCAGAACUGGACUCGGAUCGCGAAGAAGACUUGAUGCCUGUCAAGAGGAAACGUAAGCCAGUCAAGCACUUCGAGUCAGACAGUGAUAAGGAAGAGGCUCAGCCAUCUUUAAAAUCUAAGCCACACAAAUCUUCACCACAGACUGCACCACCAGUUCCACCUCCUCACUGGUCGUCAUCACCACCAGCAGUCCCACCUCCUCACCGGUCGUCACCACCAACAGUCCCACCUCCUCACCGGUCAUCAUCACCUCCACCAGUGGCAUCUCCAGUGUCAACCCAUCAGUCAUUAUCACCAAGGCAAAUGAAAUUUCAUCAAAAACACACAUAA